CGUGUAGGCGGCUUUGCAAGUCGGAUGUGAAAGCCCACGGCUCAACCGUGGAAGUGCAUCCGAAACUGCAUGGCUUGAGUCUCGGAGAGGAAGGUGGAAUGCUUGGUGUAGAGGUGAAAUUCGUAGAUAUCAAGCAGAACACCUGCGGCGAAGGCGGCCUUCUGGACGAUGACUGACGCUGAGACGCGAAAGCGUGGGAGCAAACA
rnacentral:rRNA from 1 species